rnacentral:piRNA from 2 species
GGUUAGUUUUACCCUACUGAUGAUGUGUUGUU